rnacentral:rRNA from 1 species
AAUAGAUACCCGGGUAGUCCACGCCGUAAACGAUGGAUGCUAGCUGUUAUGCGUAUCGACCCGUGUAGUAGCGAAGCUAACGCGUUAAGCAUCCCGCCUGGGGAGUACGAACGCAAGUUUAAAACUCAAAGGAAUUGACGGGGACCCGCACAAGCGGUGGAGCGUGUUCUUUAAUUCGAGGCUAAGCGAAGAACCUUACCAGGGCUUGACAUCCUUGGAAUUUCUCCGAAAGGAGAGAGUACCUUAUUGGACCAAGUGACAGGUGCUGCAUGGCCGUCGUCAGCUCGUGUCGUGAGAUGUUUGGUUAAGUCCAUUAACGAGCGCAACCCUUAUGAAUAGUUGUAUUUUUCUAUUCAGACUGCCCCGGUAACGGGGAGGAAGGGGGGAUGAUGUCAGGUCAGUAUUGCCCUUACGCCCUGGGCUAGAAACGCGCUACAAUGGCCGGUACAAUGCGCUGCCAACCCGCGAGGGGGAGCAAAUCGCAUCAAAGCCGGUCCCAGUUCGGAUAAGAGGCUGAAACUCGCCUCUUUGAAGCCGGAAUCGCUAGUAAUCGU